CCAAAAAUCUAGCCUAUCCCCCCCCCCCUUUUAACCCUUCCCCCACUAAAAUAUUCUAAUAGUCUAGUAAAGAAGAUUAAAAAACUUUUAAGAGCCAUAAAUCUGUACCGCAAGGGAAAGAUGAAAUAUAAAUGAAAUAAAUCUAAGCACAACAAAGUAGAGAUUCUUCCUUGUACCUUUUGCAUCAUGGUUUAGCUAGUCUAAUUAGGCAAAAAGAUCUUAAGUCUAACCCCCCGAAACUAAGUGAGCUAAUUUAGGGCUGCUUACAGAGCUAACCCGUCUAUGUUGCAUAAUAGUGGGAAGACCCUAAAAUAGAGGUGAUAAGCCUAUCGAACUUAGUAAUAGCUGGUUUCUCACGAAAAGAAUUUUAGUUCAGCCUAAAGAAACUUAUAACCUCACUAUGUCCCACCUCCUUUAGAGUAAUUCAAACGAGGUACAGCCCGUUUGAUACAGGAUACAACCUUUACUAACGGGUAACAUUCAACUCACAUCUUUAAGUGGGCCUAAGAGCAGCCAUCUUUUAAAAAGCGUCAAAGCUUAACCCUGUUUACAUUAAUCUUUAAAUUUUUAUCCACCCCUUUAACAACACUGAGAACUUCUAUAACCCUAUAGAACUUUUUAUGCUAAAACUAGUAACAAGAGAAAGCCUCUCCCCAUGCAAGUAUAAGCCAGAAAGAACCCACCACUGGCAAUUAACAAACCUCCGCAAAAGUAACAACCAAACCCCUAGAAAACCCUACUUCCCCCACUUGUUAACCUUACACCAGAGCAUUCCAAGAAAGAUUAAAAGAAAAAGAAGGAACUCGGCAAAUACUAAUCCCGCCUGUUUACCAAAAACAUCGCCUCUUGACCUCACCCCAUAAGAGGUCCAGCCUGCCCAGUGACUCUGUUCAACGGCCGCGGUAUUCUAACCGUGCAAAGGUAGCGUAGUCACUUGUUUUCUAAAUAAAGACCAGUAUGAAAGGCAUCACGAGGACUAAACUGUCUCCUUUUUCCUAUCAGUGAACCUAAUCCCCCCGUGAAGAAGCGGGGAUAAAAACAUAAGACGAGAAGACCCUGUGGAGCUUAAAACAUUAAAACAUNUGCCCCCCCCCCAUAUAAUACCCAGGUUCUCUGCCAAAUGGCACUCUGAUUACAUGUUUUGGUUGGGGUGACCGCGGAGAAAAACUAAUCCUCCACAAUGUAGGGAAUCCCCCUAGCAAUAAAUUACAAUUUUAUGCCUCAAGAAAUUGACAUCAUAGACCCAAUAAGUUGAUCAAUGAACCAAGUUACCCCAGGGAUAACAGCACAAUCCACUUUGAGAGCCCCUAUCGACAAGUGGGCUUAUGACCUCGAUGUUGGAUCGGGGUAUCCCAGUGGUGCAGCCGCUACUAAAGGUUCGUUUGUUCAACGAUUAAAACCCCACGUGAUCUGAGUUCAGACCGGAGUAAUCCAGGUCAGUUUCUAUCUAUAACAGCGCUAGUUUCAGUACGAAAGGACCAAAAUAGCAUGGCCUAUGCCCCCCGCAAGCCGCAAUUNNNNUUCCUGCCAGCACUUAAAAAAUAAUUAAUCUUCCCCUCACCU
rnacentral:rRNA from 1 species